CAUGGGCGGGGCGACAGCUGACCCCGUCCCGGCCCCUCGCAGGAGCGACCCCCCCAAGCUCAACGCCUUCAUCAUGGACAAGUCCCUGCUGGACUACGAGGUCUCCAUCGACGCGGACUGCAAGCUGCUGACUGUGGGCAAGCCCUUCGCCAUCGAGGGUGAGGGGCACCUGGACGGGGCGGGGCGGGGCGCCGGGCUCUCUGGGGCCAGUGGGGAGCCGCGGAGGGUUCCAGGCGGGGAGGGGCGAAGUCCCGCGUGUGCGGGCAGAGUUCCUCUGGGGCUGUCCCGCCUGGCCCCACCUCCCCGGCCCCGCGCCCCCAGGCUAUGGCAUCGGGCUGCCCCAGAACUCGCCGCUCACCUCCAACCUGUCCGAGUUCAUCAGCCGCUACAAGUCCUCCGGCUUCAUUGACCUGCUCCAUGACAAGUGGUACAAGAUGGUGCCUUGCGGGAAGCGGGUGUUUGCGGUGACAGAGGUGGGGCUGGGCCCGGGGCAGGGGGUGGGGGGCCCUGAGCCUUGUCUGAGGUGACCAACCCCGCGCUCAUUCCCGAGAUGCGCAUUUGUCCGCUUCUGCGCACUUCUAUUCUCCCUACAAAACCCCAGCUCCAGUGGCCUCUCCUCCAUGAAACCUCACCCCUGCCUGCCAACCUGACUCCACAGUCCCAGGCCCCUCUCUCUGGCCCAACCUUUUCUCCCGCAGUUCAAGGGUCCCCAGGGGCCGGCCAUCACGUGACCGUGAGGGGCUCCUGUUCUGUUGCCCCAGACCCUGCAGAUGAGCAUCUACCACUUCUCGGGCCUCUUCGUGCUGCUGUGCCUGGGCCUGGGCAGCGCUCUGCUCAGCUCCCUGGGCGAGCACGCCUUCUACCGCCUGGCGCUGCCUCGCAUCCGCAGGGGGAGCCGGCUGCAGUACUGGCUGCACACCAGCCAGAAAAUCCACCGCGCCCUCAACACGGAGCCGCCACAGGGGUCGAAGGAGGAGACGGCAGAGGCGGAGCCCAGGUAAGUGGUGGUCGGGGCAACCAGGACCCAGGUCGCCCUGAAGCCGGCCACGGGGUGCAGGAGGCGGUUCCCGGAGGCCCCCGGCCACCCUCGGACAACUGUGCGCACGGCAGCUGCCUGGUGGUGCCUUUCGGCCACCCUCUCCCCGCAGUGGGCUCUACAGAGACCCAGGGUGCAAGACGGCUGCCCCGGUGGGCACCGACCAGGCCGGUUCUGUCCCCAGCGGCCCCGAGGUGGAGCAGCAGCAGCAGGACCCGCCGGCGGCUCCGGAGGGCUGGAAACGGGCGCGCCGGGCCGUGGACAAGGAGCGCCGCGUGCGCUUCCUGCUGGAGCCCGCCGUGGUUGCGGCGCCCGACGCGGACACCGAGGCGGAGGCGGAGGCGGGGGCGGGGGCUGCGCCGCCAGAGGGCCCCGGCUGGCUGUGCUCCAAUGGCCGCGCGUCAGCCGCGAAGCCCACGGGCCCCCCCCAGCCCGGGGAGCUGCAGGAGCUGGAGCGCUGCAUCGAGAGCGCGCGGGAGCGGCUCCGCCAGGCCCUGGUGCGGCGCGGCGAGCUGCUGGCACAGCUCGGGGACAGCGCGCGCCACCGGCCUCUGCGCCUGCUUCAGGCCAGGGCUGCCCCCGCGGAGGCGCCACCGCACCCGGACUGAUGGGGUUGCCGGGAAGGAGGCGGCCGCCGGGCUCCCGGGGAUCAAGACACACAGCGCGCUGGGCCGCUGUCGACAGAGUUUAUUCUAUAUACAAACCCAAUUUUGUACACCGCAAUUAAAUAGAAUGGAAUGAGCUCUCCUCCGCAUUCCUCCCCGAGUGACUCCGCCCCGGGGCAGAGCCGGACCACGGCCCGGCUGCUGCCACUGGUGUUGGCGUCUGCACCCCGCGUCCCUAUCUAUGCCUGAGGCACAAGCUCUGCUCUCCCGGGGCCCCCAGGCCUGGUGCGCACGCGGGGAGGGCCGGGCCAUGGACAAGGCACUGCACGGAGCACCAGGCAGAGCCGGGCUGAGGCCGGCAGGGACAGCGCUAGGGUUCCAGGGUCCUAGGACCCGCCCCGGCCGCCACUCCACACUUCCGCGUGCUCACAGGCCUGCACCACGGGGACCCCACUCCACCGCAGGACGUUCACUGCAGACCUUCCCCCAAGCGCCCUCCAGAACCUUCCACGGAACCCCACCCCUCUCCUCGCUAACGGGUACGAGCCCAGCCCGGGGCGCGACCUCACACCGGGGGGAGGGAAGCCUGCCUUCUGGGCAACCCCAUGAAACCCUGAAAGCCACCGAGACAGGCUGGGCAGUACCAGAGGAAGGAGGUGGCCGGGCGCCCCCACCCGGGACGGCCUCCCCUACCCCUACAGGCUCCAGCAGGUCAGGCCCAGCCGGCCGGGACAGCCGGGGUCAGAGGCAGCUCAGCUGUGCGGCUCAGGAUCCAGCCUCCGAGGGCGCCUCCACUGGGGCCGUGGAGGCCGGGCUAGACCCGCUCACCGCAGCUGCCAGGGGCGUUGUGUCGGGAGCUGCGGAGUCACUCGGGGGGACACUGUCCUGUGGGGUGCGGGGGAUGCCCCCAGGAGGGCCCAGCGGGCUGGCUGGACGCCGCUCCAGGAGGGAGGCCCUGAGGCCGGACAGGAAGGAGGCGUCUGUGAUGAUAGCAGCGGUCUCUGUCAUCCAGCCCAGGUCACCGCCGGCAGCUGCAGCCACCAGGGAGCCGGGCGCCGCGGCCACAGGCCCUGGACUCCCGCUGGCCCCGGGCGAGAUGGGGCCCAGGGCAGGGGGCUGGCUGGUGGAGUCGGGGG
rnacentral:lncRNA from 13 species